rnacentral:rRNA from 1 species
GGGGAAUAUUGCACAAUGGGCGAAAGCCUGAUGCAGCAACGCCGCGUGGAAGAUGAAGGCCUUCGGGUUGUAAACUCUUGUCUUCUGGGACGAUAAUGACGGUACCAGAGGAGGAAGCCACGGCUAACUACGUGCCAGCAGCCGCGGUAAUACGUAGGUGGCAAGCGUUGUCCGGAUUUACUGGGCGUAAAGGAUGCGUAGGCGGAUAUUUAAGUGGGGUGUGGAAUACCCGAGCUCAACUUGGGUGCUGCAUUCCAAACUGGAUAUCUAGAGUGCGGGAGAGGAGAGUGGAAUUCCUAGUGUAGCGGUGAAAUGCGUAGAGAUUAGGAAGAACACCAGUGGCGAAGGCGACUCUCUGGACCGUAACUGACGCUGAAGCACGAAAGCAUGGGUAGCAAAC